rnacentral:lncRNA from 1 species
GCUAUGCGGCUGGAAUUCUGCAAUGUAUCUUUCGUCGUAGAGAUGAAAACUUUGUGACGAAAGGUUUAUGCAGCAAUAUAGGAACAGUUUUUUUUGUUUGUAUUUUCGAAUAAGGAUAACUAAAUUACAGUAGCAGUAAGGUAGGAAACCAGAACCUGUUGCAAUUCACGGGGAGAUCAAAGGAUGAUCCACGGUGGUGGAGAUG